GAGAGUUUGAUCCUGGCUCAGGAUGAACGCUGGCGGCGUGCUUAACACAUGCAAGUCGAACGGGAAAUAUUUCAUUGAGACUUCGGUGGAUUUGAUCUAUUUCUAGUGGCGGACGGGUGAGUAACGCGUGGGUAACCUGCCUUAUACAGGGGGAUAACAGUCAGAAAUGGCUGCUAAUACCGCAUAAGCGCACAGAGCUGCAUGGCUCAGUGUGAAAAACUCCGGUGGUAUAAGAUGGACCCGCGUUGGAUUAGCUUGUUGGCGGGGUAACGGCCCACCAAGGCGACGAUCCAUAGCCGGCCUGAGAGGGUGAACGGCCACAUUGGGACUGAGACACGGCCCAGACUCCUACGGGAGGCAGCAGUGGGGAAUAUUGCACAAUGGGGGAAACCCUGAUGCAGCGACGCCGCGUGAAGGAAGAAGUAUCUCGGUAUGUAAACUUCUAUCAGCAGGGAAGAUAGUGACGGUACCUGACUAAGAAGCCCCGGCUAACUACGUGCCAGCAGCCGCGGUAAUACGUAGGGGGCAAGCGUUAUCCGGAUUUACUGGGUGUAAAGGGAGCGUAGACGGUGUGGCAAGUCUGAUGUGAAAGGCAUGGGCUCAACCUGUGGACUGCAUUGGAAACUGUCAUACUUGAGUGCCGGAGGGGUAAGCGGAAUUCCUAGUGUAGCGGUGAAAUGCGUAGAUAUUAGGAGGAACACCAGUGGCGAAGGCGGCUUACUGGACGGUAACUGACGUUGAGGCUCGAAAGCGUGGGGAGCAAACAGGAUUAGAUACCCUGGUAGUCCACACCGUAAACGAUGAUUACUAGGUGUUGGAGGAUUGACCCCUUCAGUGCCGCAGUUAACACAAUAAGUAAUCCACCUGGGGAGUACGACCGCAAGGUUGAAACUCAAAGGAAUUGACGGGGGCCCGCACAAGCAGUGGAGUAUGUGGUUUAAUUCGACGCAACGCGAAGAACCUUACCAAGUCUUGACAUCCCUUGACGAUGCUGGAAACAGUAUUUCUCUUCGGAGCAAGGAGACAGGUGGUGCAUGGUUGUCGUCAGCUCGUGUCGUGAGAUGUUGGGUUAAGUCCCGCAACGAGCGCAACCCUUAUGGUCAGUUACUACGCAAGAGGACUCUGGCCAGACUGCCGUUGACAAAACGGAGGAAGGUGGGGAUGACGUCAAAUCAUCAUGCCCUUUAUGACUUGGGCUACACACGUACUACAAUGGCGUUAAACAAAGAGAAGCAAGACCGCGGGGUGGAGCAAAACUCAGAAACAACGUCCCAGUUCGGACUGCAGGCUGCAACUCGCCUGCACGAAGUCGGAAUUGCUAGUAAUCGUGGAUCAGCAUGCCACGGUGAAUACGUUCCCGGGCCUUGUACACACCGCCCGUCACACCAUGAGAGCCGGGGGGACCCGAAGUCGGUAGUCUAACCGCAAGGAGGACGCCGCCGAAGGUAAAACUGGUGAUUGGAGUGAAGUCGUAACAAGGUAACCG
rnacentral:rRNA from 1 species